CAACUGCAAAAUGUAUUUUUGGUCUCGAUUUGUUCACAAGGAACCAGUCUGAUUCUCGAGCCGUUCAAGGAACCAGUCUGACGAUUUUUUUCAAGCCAGACAAGAUCCCAACUUGUUGAAGAACUUCACAGUUUGAUACAUUCGUCCCUUUGUUCGGUAUUGCAAAUACCGAAAAAUAAUCCACCGGAUUCGGGUUCACGUAGAGUUUACCGAGACUGGAUUGAGGACGGUCGUUGUUUGUUUGUUGCCGUUUUAGUCUCAACUGAAACCAGAUUGAGAUUGAACUUUGGAGAGAACGCAGUAUUCACUUUUUUAAGGAUGUUGAUUCAAGAUUAGUCAAGAGGUGAAGGUCCGCAGGGGGUAGCGAGAAAUUCAAAACUAUUUAAAUUACAUAAACCUUCUGAACACACGAAUUUAUGCCGAGAUAAGAAUUACAGAUAUUUCAACGCCGUGCAACUUCUCACUUUAGAAGGAUUUGAACUUCCCACACAAAUAUGGAGAAAAUCUUCCCUAUUAUUCUCACAACGGCGACUUCUGAGCUUUACUUAGCCGAUGUGGACAUUUUAAGCGACUUAUUCUACACGACCACCUCCCGUCAGACCCAGACUUCCAAUGAGGCCGACUUGUACAGAGAAUAUCUCGAUAUUUGUGAUCAAAUUGAUGACAUUCAAGUUAUCGACUGGGACGAGAUAAUCGACGCCAUUCCAAUCCCAGAAUCGUCACCGCUACACAAAAAUAAUGAAAUUGAGAUAACUACCAUCUUAUUGCAAAAGAUUACCACAGCUGAACCAGUUACCCCAACUCGUACUAAACCGGAUGUUACAGUCAAACCGGAAGUGGAGAAGGUUGCUGGACCCAAACCCAGAUUAUUCAAAUGUCCACAAUGUGGACAAACUUUAACGACGAAGACCCACCUAAAGCGGCACAUUCACCUUAAACAUUCCCCCGACGAUAUUUCCGUCACGUGUCCAACGCGUUUGAGGCGGUUUGCUAAUCAGGUCAAUCUCGACAGGCAUCGCCGCUCCGGAGUAAACAAUGCCGUCAGCAGGUUAAGGACACACAUGCACAAUGCAUUUUCGAGCAUAGAAAUUCCCGGUGGGAAACUUAUUAUGUAUGUACUUAUUUACAUAUUUCCCACCUAUUUAAAUCUUUGUCUGGCUGAAGUAGUAUGUACAUAUGAACAUAUUUACUUACAGAUUGAG